rnacentral:lncRNA from 1 species
GUUUGCAAAUAUUCUAGGGCAAAACUUGAAACUUCUGUGUAAGUUUGUGAAGAUGACGCAAAACAGAAGAACUGGAAUCUAGCAAGAGUUAUAGGAACAUUAGCUAAAGGAGGAAAAGGACUGCUUUAGGGAAAAGGAGGCCAGCUUUCAGAGAAAAUGGAAAAAUCAUCUUGGAUCAGAUAAGAAUGGGCUUUAAAUCUUUCAUCUGUAAAGACAGCUGUUUGGAAUUCAUGUUCUUAAUGCCAGCAUUUCUUUUCAUAUUU